AAAACACAAACAUGAAUAAGAAUAAGAAACAAAGAUCAAAUAUAAAUGAACACAAAAAAUUUACAUGAUUCUUUCCAAAAACUAGUUGUGGUUUGUAAUAUGACCAGAAAGUUAUAAUAUCUAGAGCUAGUCUUUUCUCCCCUCAAUUAUAAGUACAUAGAAAUUAGGGCAACAUGUGUGUAAAAAUAUCAAAAUAUCCUUACUCUAAAAUUCGGGAUCAAAUGGUUAGUAUUCAAUCCUUAUCAGGAUCCACACCACCCUAAAAUGAUGCUCCAGCUAGUUGCAGCUUACCCUUUAAUGAACCUUAUCAUUAUUUUUAUAGCUGGUUCUUAUAUGCUAACGUCUGGAUAAUAUGAAUGCAUUUGACCAAAAAAAUUAUUCUCAAAUUUGUUAUAGGACCCUUACAUACUUUGCUGGGAGAUACGCAAACAUAGUUCUACAUUUUCUAGUGUGUGUUGCUUUAAAUGGCUUGUUCUUUCUGUUCAUGCAAAUUUUGGAUUACCCUCUUUAAUCACUAAAUUUAAAGAAGGGCUUUGACUGAUUGUUUUGCCUGUGUGCAUCUUGUAAUUAGGCUGUGUCGAUCUUCAGAAAAUAUCAAUCAGCAGAUACUGUUUGAUAUUGAUCCUUUUGGUCAGCAUCUUGGUAUAGGCAGUGAGACAGCUGAUCUCUCCACUCAUAUAUCUGAACCUCGCAAGAAAAACUUGUUUUUGGAAAGUUUAUACAAAGAGGAGCAGGAGAAAUCAUAUAUGACAUAUGAUAACAACAACGGGAAGCAUGCUUUUCAUAGUGACAUUCAAGAUAAGGAUAUAGUUGAAGCUCUAGAAAAUGAGGUUCAAUAUUAGACAGACUUUUCAAAAGUUCACUAUCAUCCCUGGAGUCUAUAUGAAUAUAAUGGUUUUCGUAUGAUUCUCUAUUUUGUAUGGAAUUAUUAUUUUAGAUUGGAAUAUACUUAGUUUGUAUGGAAUUUGACAUUAAAAGUUAUUCCUUUUUGGAUGGUUGAAAGUGAAAUGGAUGUAAAUUGCGAAAUGAUUGAUAA